GUAGGUAGGUAGGUAGGUAGACAGGUAGGUAGGGUUAGACAGGUAGGUAGGUGGGGUUAGACAGGUAGGGCUAGACAGGUAGGGCUAGACAGGUAGGUAGGUAGGU